UGAGUAGUUUCAGCAGGCUCUGGGUAUA
rnacentral:piRNA from 1 species